CAGCCGCCACGGGAAUACGUAGGGUGCAAGCGUUAAUCGGAAUUACUGGGCGUAAAGCGUGCGCAGGCGGUUAUAUAAGACAGAUGUGAAAUCCCCGGGCUCAACCUGGGACCUGCAUUUGUGACUGUAUAGCUAGAGUACGGUAGAGGGGGAUGGAAUUCCGCGUGUAGCAGUGAAAUGCGUAGAUAUGCGGAGGAACACCGAUGGCGGAGGCAAUCCCCUGGACCUGUACUGACGCUCAUGCACGAAAGCGUGGGUAGCAAACAGGAUUAGAUACCCCUGUAGUCCCUGUCUCUUAUAC
rnacentral:rRNA from 1 species